AGCCUGGUGCAGCCAUCUCAGGAAGACUGGGUCUCAGCUGCCACAGGGGAUUCAGGACAGGAGACCAUACCUACUGCAGGUGCCCCCCGACAGGUGUGUGUGUGAGCACUGAGGGGUCAGGGUCAAGCAAGUGUUGCGUCAUCAUCCCUAAUUGUCUGCCCUGCCACCCACCAUUCCAAGAGCAUCAAGAGGACACCUGAGGGCUGCAAGGGUCUGAGAGUUCCUGGAAGAAAUGCCAGAUGCUUCUUUUUUAUGACUCGCCUCGAGCUUCUCCUGUAUCUGCGCCUGACUGUGGAAGGAGAGCUUGGAGUAGCCUUGACAGACCUGAGUUCUAAACCCGGCCCUGCCACAUCCUAGCCAUGUGCCUGUGGGUAAGCCAUUUUCCCUCUUUGAGCCUCUGCUUCCUCGUUUGUAAAAACAUGCCAAGAACAGUAUCUAUUUCACCAGCUGGCAGUGAGAAUUAUUCAACUCCACUGACUCCCUUAGUGCCCAGCACACAGUUUGCAUGUAGCAGGUGGGCACUUUUAAGGAACAUGGCCUGGGGAGGACCUAUUGGGACUCUGGGGAAAGAAAGGAGGCCAUGCCAGACAUCUCUGUCUCCUGCUGAGCUCUGCACUUGGUUUUCCUGAUGCCUGGUUUGUUCCCAUUUAUUCUUAUUAAGAUUCUCCACCUGCAUCCCACCCCCUUCACCGCCCUCUGGCCUGGCCAGCCUGAAGUUUUCUGGGAGAACAAAGGAGCUUCUCUGGUAGCAACCAGCCUAGGGCUCAAAUCUGGCUUCUUCCUAGGGAGAAGAGACCUGGAAUAUCUGGAUUCCAAAAGGGCCUGAAAUCUCUGCCUGGAGUAGGAGGGUUUCUGUGUGUAGAGCAGAGGUUACCAUGUCUGGGGGACUUUCCACCUUUAUUUUACUUAGCCUGCACAGUGUUUUGGAAACAUUUGAAUUCAUUGCUGAGAUUUAGAAACCAGCAGCUUUCACCUGGCCCUGUGCCCACACUCCUGCCCUGGCAACAAGCAGCUGGAGCUGGGUGUCCACUGCCCCUGUAGUGGGAGCACGAGCUCUGUGGCUUGUCAGUUUCCACCUGGUUUCCUGGGUGCAGUUCCAGGGUUUCCAGCCUGGCCUUGUAGGCAUGUGCCUCUGUGUCCUCAAGACAGAGGUGGCUGGACAAACUUUUGUGCAUGUGUACGCAACUUCUAGGGUUCCCACCUCCCCGUUUAACCAUCUACCAGGAUCUGCACCCCCAUGCCACAGAUGUAACUCCAAUUACUACAACUGAACCAUCUCUGCUCCCCUCAAAAGCCAAUCUCUUUACUGUAAACUAGAUCCCUCCUGCUGUGGUUUGAAUGUUUUUGUCCCCUCCAAAAUGCAUGUUUCGGGAACUUACAGUAUCGGGACAAGAGACCUAAGAAGAGGUGUUUAGAAUCUAGGCAGAGCCCUCAUGAAUGAGUUAAUGCCACUAUUAAAAGUGCAAACUUGCAGUGAGCCGAGAUUGUGCCAUUGCACUCCAGCCUGGGCAACAGAGUGAGACUCCGUCUCAAAAAAAAGAAAAAGAAAAAAA
ensembl:lncRNA